rnacentral:rRNA from 2 species
CGGUAAUACGUAGGUGGCAAGCGUUAUCCCGGAUUUAUUGGGCGUAAAGAGAGUGCAGGCGGUUUUCUAAGUCUGAUGUGAAAGCCUUCGGCUUAACCCGGAGAAGUGCAUCGGAAACUGGAUAACUUGAGUGCAGAAGAGGGUAGUGGAACUCCAUGUGUAGCGGUGGAAUGCGUAGAUAUAUGGAAGAACACCAGUGGCGAAGGCGGCUACCUGGUCUGCAACUGACGCUGAGACUCGAAAGCAUGGGUAGCGAACAGGAUUAGAUACCCUGGUAGUCCAUGCCGUAAACGAUGAGUGCUAGGUGUUGGAGGGUUUCCGCCCUUCAGUGCCGGAGCUAACGCAUUAAGCACUCCGCCUGGGGAGUACGACCGCAAGGUUGAAACUCAAAGGAAUUGACGGGGGCCCGCACAAGCGGUGGAGCAUGUGGUUUAAUUCGAAGCUACGCGAAGAACCUUACCAGGUCUUGACAUCUUGCGCCAACCCUAGAGAUAGGGCGUUUCCUUCGGGAACGCAAUGACAGGUGGUGCAUGGUCGUCGUCAGCUCGUGUCGUGAGAUGUUGGGUUAAGUCCCGCAACGAGCGCAACCCUUGUUACUAGUUGCCAGCAUUAAGUUGGGCACUCUAGUGAGACUGCCGGUGACAAACCGGAGGAAGGUGGGGACGACGUCAGAUCAUCAUGCCCCUUAUGACCUGGGCUACACACGUGCUACAAUGGACGGUACAACGAGUCGCGAACUCGCGAGGGCAAGCAAAUCUCUUAAAACCGUUCUCAGUUCGGACUGCAGGCUGCAACUCGCCUGCACGAAGUCGGAAUCGCUAGUAAUCGCGGAUCAGCAUGCCGCGGUGAAUACGUUCCCGGGCCUUGUACACACCGCCCGUCACACCAUGAGAGUUUGUAACACCCAAAGUCGGUGGGGUAACC